rnacentral:tRNA from 1 species
GCUUUGGUAAUUUAAUACAGAAUAUCUAACUUGUAAUUAGGGGGUUAAAUUAGCU